AGAAGCCUUAUUAUAGUUCAGAUCUUCAGUAGCCAAAUUAAGAACAAAAAUUUGAAUUAUGAAUGCCAUGUAUAUACAUACUUAAUUUCGAUACUUUCACUUCGUUUGGAUUGAUGGAUAGGAAGAAACAGAAAGGAAAAGGGUAGGGGGAUCAGUAUAGAUUAAUGGGUUGAAAAAGGCAAAAAAAAAGGGGAUGGUUUAAUUAUUCCUUCAAAUUCCACUUUGU
rnacentral:misc_RNA from 1 species